rnacentral:rRNA from 1 species
GACGAACGCUGGCGGCGUGCUUAACACAUGCAAGUCGAACGGAAAGGCUCUGUUUUUGUGGGGUGCUCGAGUGGCGAACGGGUGAGUAACACGUGAGCAACCUUCCCCUGACUUUGGGACAACCUCAGGAAACUGGGGCUAAUACCGGAUAGGUGCUCCUGCUCCAUGGUGGGUGUUGGAAAGUUUCGGCGGUUGGGGAUGGACUCGAGGCUUAUCAGCUUGUUGGUGGGGGAGUGGCUUACCAAGGCUUUGAUGGGUGGCCGGCCUGAGUGGUUGACCGGGCACAUGAGGACUGAGAUACGGCCCAGACCCCUACGGGAGACAGGAGUAGGGAAUAUAGCACAAUGGGGGGAAGCCGGAUGCAGCAACGCCGCGUGCGGGAUUACGACCUUCGGGUGGUAAACCACAAUCGCAUGUGACGAAGCGUGAGUGACGGUAAUAGGUAAAGAAGCACCGGCUAACUACGUG